GCUGCUGAGAAACAUUUGAUGUUAAAAACCCAGCUGAGCCAGACUGAUCAUGUUUCAGUGACAGUGGACAUUUGGUCAGACCGAAAGAUGAGGGGUUUCCUUGGCAUCACUGUGCACUGGAUACAAAAAGGAAUUGAGAGGCUCGAGGUGAGGAACCUGAUGAUAAUCAUCGUCUUGACGACCCAGAGCUCUGGCAUGACUUACCCUUGGAAGAUCAGGAAACAGUCGGUGCCUCUUUGGGAAAGAAACAUCGCCUGCAAUGUUUUGCUCACACACUUCAGCUGGUGGUGAGAGAUGGCCUGACAGAGACCAAAGUGGCAUCUCCUGCCCUUUCAAAGCUAUCUAAGCUCAGCUCACUACUGCACACAAGCACAACAUUGAAAGAUGUGUUUGAAGCUGAAUUUGGUGAACGGAAAAGCAUCCCUGCUUCUGUAAUCACAAGAUGGAAUUCAACAGUGAGACAAGUGAAGGCGGUUCUUCAAUGUGAACAUCUAAAACUCUGUGCUAUUCUUGAAAAAGCCGGGCACAAGAAGUUGUUAUUCACAAUACGAGAGUGGAACUUGCUGAAGGAGAUGGUGGACAUCUUGAAACCGUUUGAAGAAGCAACUGAUUUGACACAAGGUGAGAAAAUAGUCACGAUCAGUGCUGUUGUUCCAUCUGUGCUGUCCCUCAAUCACCACCUUGAGAAACUGAAGCCGCAAGUCCGUUUCCUGAAUGGUCUGGUCAGCAGUCUCCAGGCAUCUUUGAACAAAAGAUUUCUUGGAAUUUUUAUCAGUGUGCAAAUGGCGAGAGCAGAAGAAGGGAUCACUGCACCCUUUUCAGAUCCAGUGUACCUCAAAGCAGCUGCUUUGGAUCCAGCGUUUUCUCUGUUGUGGGUGGAACACCAUGUGUUGGGCAGUCAGGACAUGAAGACAGAAGUGACACAAAAAGUUAAAGAUCUGAUCCUGGAAAAUGCUGCAGAUCCUG